rnacentral:rRNA from 1 species
CGUGGGUAACCUGCCCAAGAGAUCGGGAUAACACCUGGAAACAGAUGCUAAUACCGGAUAACAACAGAUGAUGCCUAUCAACUGUUUAAAAGAUGGUUCUGCUAUCACUAUUGGAUGGACCUGCGGUGCAUUAGCUAGUUGGUAGGGUAACGGCCUACCAAGGCGAUGAUGCAUAGCCGAGUUGAGAGACUGAUCGGCCACAUUGGGACUGAGACACGGCCCAAACUCCUACGGGAGGCACAGCC